GGUAGGACUGGGAGUUGGGGAUGUUUGAGGGGCUCCAUGUUCAGAUCUGGCCCUGCAGGAACUUUGGGGGCUGGAGCUGGGGAAAGUGAGGGACUGUCUGAAGUUGGCUGCUUGGGAUAUGGGUGAGGCCCCAGGGAGCUGGGGGUUGGGCUGCAGCCCUGUCACUGCAGCCUGGGGCUAUGCGUUUCCUCUGGAAAAGCUGCUCCCUCUUUCACCAUCUCCUCUCAGGCUGAGUCCCAGGGACCCUGCACAGGCGUCUGCAGGGCAGGACGGGCCCUGAAAUCUGGCGGCUGGGAGGUUUGCAGCAGUUUCUAAACCUCCCUCCCCUGCUUCUUCCAGGAGGUACCACAAAAGUGUCUGGCCCCUUUGGGAAAAGAGAGAGAAGCAGCCAAAGCUGAGGAAGAGCAGCAAAGCAAGGAGCUGCUGAAACAGACAGAAACCGAGAGGCAGAAGAUUGUCUGGGAGUGGAAGGAGCUGCGAGGGCUUCUGGAGGAGCAGGAGCAGCUGCUGCUGUCCCGGCUGGAGGAGCUAGAGAGAGCCAUUGUCCAGAGCAGGGAUGAGGGCGUCUGCAGCCUGUAAUGGGAGAUUUCCCUGCUCAGUGAGAGGGGAGGAGAGAAGGGGCGGCAGCCGCUGAGCCAGUCCCUGCAGGGUGCUGGGAGCACUGGGGGCAG